rnacentral:rRNA from 1 species
UACGGAGGGGGCCAGCGUUGCUCGGAAUCACUGGGCGUAAAGGGCUUGUAGGCGGUCUGAUAAGUCCGUGGUGAAAGCCAACAGCUCAACUGUUGAACUGCCAUGGAUACUGUCAGGCUUGAGUACAGACGAGGUAGGCGGAAUUGAUGGUGUAGCGGUGAAAUGCAUAGAUACCAUCAAGAACACCGAUUGCGAAGGCAGCUUACUAGGCUGUAACUGACGCUGAGGCACGAAAGCGUGGGGAGCGAACAGG